rnacentral:rRNA from 1 species
AAACCAACAGGGAUUGCCCUAGUAACGGCGAGUGAAGCGGCAACAGCUCAAAUUUGAAAUCUGGCUUCGGCCCGAGUUGUAAUUUGCAGAGGAAGCUUUAGGCGCGGCACCUCCUGAGUCCCCUGGAACGGGGCGCCACAGAGGGUGAGAGCCCCGUAUAGUUGGAUGCCUAGCCUGUGUAAAGCUCCUUCGACGAGUCGAGUAGUUUGGGAAUGCUGCUCAAAAUGGGAGGUAAAUUUCUUCUAAAGCUAAAUACCGGCCAGAGACCGAUAGCGCACAAGUAGAGUGAUCGAAAGAUGAAAAGCACUUUGAAAAGAGGGUUAAAUAGCACGUGAAAUUGUUGAAAGGGAAGCGCUUGUGACCAGACUUGCGCCGGGCUGAUCAUCCGGUGUUCUCACCGGUGCACUCUGCCCGGCUCAGGCCAGCAUCGGUUCUCGCGGGGGGAUAAAGGCCCUGGGAACGUAGCUCCUCCGGGAGUGUUAUAGCCCGGGGCGCAAUGCCCUCGCGGGGACCGAGGUUCGCGCUCUGCAAGGAUGCUGGCGUAAUGGUCAUCAGCGACCCGUCUUGAAACACGGACCAAGGAGUCAAGGUUUUGCGCGAGUGUUUGGGUGUAAAACCCGCACGCGUAAUGAAAGUGAACGUAGGUGAGAGCUUCGGCGCAUCAUCGACCGAUCCUGAUGUUCUCGGAUGGAUUUGAGUAGGAGCGUUAAGCCUUGGACCCGAAAGAUGGUGAACUAUGCUUGGAUAGGGUGAAGCCAGAGGAAACUCUGGUGGAGGCUCGCAGCGGUUCUGACGUGCAAAUCGAUCGUCAAAUCUGAGCAUGGGGGGCGAAA